CCCGGGAUGUGUCCCGGCCCGGUUGGUGUCCCUGGGAUGGUGUCCCUGCCCGUUGGUGUCCCAGACCUGGAUGGUGUCCCUGCCGAUGGUGUCUGUGUCUCGGUGGUGUUGUGUCCUCCAUGGUGUCUGUGUGUGUGGCCGCCGUUGGUGUCCCAGCCUGGGUGGUGUCCCUGCCCGGUGUGUCCCUGGUGUCCUCCGUGGUGUCCCUGGCCCUGGGAUGUGUCCCUGACCUGUUGGUGUCCCUGGAAUGGUGUCCCUGCCCCGGGAUGGUGUCCCUGGGAUGGUGUCCCUGCCCCGGGAUGGUGUCCCUGGAAUGGUGUCCCUGGGAUGGUGUCCCUGACCUGUUGGUGUCCCUGGGAUGUGUCCCUGCCCUGUUGGUGUCCCAGACCUGGGAUGGUGUCCCUGGCCGGGAUGGUGUCCCUGGGAUGGUGUCCCUGGCCCGGAUGGUGUCCCUGCCCUGUUGGUGUCCCUGCCCCGGGAUGGUGUCCCUGGGAUGGUGUCCCUGCCCUGUUGGUGUCCCUGGAAUGGUGUCCCUGCCCGGGAUGGUGUCCCUGGGAUGGUGUCCCUGGGAUGGUGUCCCUGGCCCGGGAUGGUGUCCCUGGGAUGGUGUCCCUGCCCCGUUGGUGUCCCAGUCCUGGGAUGGUGUCCCUGGCCCGGGAUGGUGUCCCUGGAAUGGUGUCCCUGGCCCAGGAUGGUGUCCCUGGAAUGGUGUCCCUGGGAUGUGUCCCUGACCUGUUGGUGUCCCUGGAAUGGUGUCCCUGCCCCGGGAUGGUGUCCCUGGGAUGGUGUCCCUGCCCCGGGAUGGUGUCCCUGGAAUGGUGUCCCUGGGAUGUGUCCCUGCCCUGUUGGUGUCCCAGACCUGGGAUGGUGUCCCUGGCCCGGAUGGUGUCCCUGCCCUGUUGGUGUCCCUGCCCCGGGAUGGUGUCCCUGGGAUGGUGUCCCUGCCCUGUUGGUGUCCCUGGAAUGGUGUCCCUGCCCCGGGAUGGUGUCCCUGGGAUGGUGUCCCUGGGAUGGUGUCCCUGCCCCGGGAUGGUGUCCCUGGAAUGGUGUCCCCGGGAUGUGUCCCUGACCUGUUGGUGUCCCUGGCCACGUCCUCGUAGACGCUCUGCACGCCGAUCUCCAGGCGCGUGCAGCCGUAGCCCAGCAUGGCGCUCAGGUGAGGCCGCAGGCAAUAGUCCGCCGCGUCUCGAUGGUGAUCCCCACGCACCUCGUCAGGCUCCGCUCCGAGUACCUGCAGGAACACACAGCUCUGCUCAAAAUCCAGCAGCUCUGGGCUUUAAGUAACCUUGGGAGGAGUUUCUGGUGUGUUCCACAUGAGGGUUUUAAUGAUUAGAGGGAUAAAUUUAUCAUUUAUUCCUCUCCGAGUACCUGUAGAGAAAAAUCCCAUCCCUGGUUAAAAUCCACCAGUUUUGGGUUUGAAGUGAACUCAGGAAGAGUUUCUGGAAUCCUCCAGGUGAGAGUUUUUAAGGAUUAAAGGGUAAAAUUUACCAUUUAUUUCUCUCAGAGUACCUGCAGGGAAAACCCCGUUUCUGGUUAAAUUCUACCAGUUUUGGGUUUAAGUGAACUCAGGAAGAGUUUCUGGUGUCCUUUUAAGGAAUUAAAUGUUAAAAUUUACCCUUUAUUCCUCUACUGCAUGGAAAAAUCCCAUCCUCAGUAAAAAUUCAUUGAGUUUUGGGUUUUAAGUGAACUUGGGUGAAGUUUCUGGUGUGUUCCAGGUGAGGGUUUUAAGGAUUAAAGGGUAAAAUUUAUCAUUUAUUCUUCUUCGAGUACCUGUAGAGAAAAAUCCCAUUUCUGGUUAAAACCCACCAGUUCUAAGGGAAUUUGGAGGGUUUUUUUUUUUCUUUUU
rnacentral:lncRNA from 14 species